rnacentral:rRNA from 1 species
GGGUUGUGAGGUUAAGCGACUAAGCGUACACGGUGGAUGCCCUGGCAGUCAGAGGCGAUGAAGGGCGUGCUAAUCUGCGAUAAGCGCCGGUAAGGUGAUAUGAACCGUUAUAACCGGCGAUACCCGAAUGGGGAAACCCAGUGUGACUCGUCACACUAUCAUUAACUGAAUCCAUAGGUUAAUGAGGCGAACCGGGGGAACUGAAACAUCUAAGUACCCCGAGGAAAAGAAAUCAACCGAGAUUCCCCCAGUAGCGGCGAGCGAACGGGGAGGAGCCCAGAGCCUGAAUCAGCAUGUGUGUUAGUGGAAGCGUCUGGAAAGGCGCGCGAUACAGGGUGACAGCCCCGUACACAAAAGCGCAUGUGCUGUGAGCUCGAUGAGUAGGGCGGGACACGUGGUAUCCUGUCUGAAUAUGGGGGGACCAUCCUCCAAGGCUAAAUACUCCUGACUGACCGAUAGUGAACCAGUACCGUGAGGGAAAGGCGAAAAGAACCCCGGCGAGGGGAGUGAAAAAGAACCUGAAACCGUGUACGUACAAGCAGUGGGAGCACCCUUUGGGGUGUGACUGCGUACCUUUUGUAUAAUGGGUCAGCGACUUAUAUUCUGUAGCAAGGUUAACCGAAUAGGGGAGCCGUAGGGAAACCGAGUCUUAAUUGGGCGUUAAGUUGCAGGGUAUAGACCCGAAACCCGGUGAUCUAGCCAUGGGCAGGUUGAAGGUUGGGUAACACUAACUGGAGGACCGAACCGACUAAUGUUGAAAAAUUAGCGGAUGACCUGUGGCUGGGGGUGAAAGGCCAAUCAAACCGGGAGAUAGCUGGUUCUCCCCGAAAGCUAUUUAGGUAGCGCCUCGUGAA